GCAGGGGAGGGGCAAAGGGAGAGAAAGAAUCUUAAGCAGGGGGCUCCAUCCCACAACCCUGGGAACACGAUCUGAGCCGAAAUCAAGAGUCUGAGGUUCAACCGACUGAGCCACCCAGGCACCCUUUACUGUUGACCUUCUGCUGAUGUGUUAGAAGGAGGAUGAUCUCUGCAUCCGAAUGGCAUUUGACCGCAGGUUUUUGCCACUAUAAUUCUGCAGUGCACAACUUUACAUAUACCCUUCUGUACUGGUUCUUUUAUUUCUACUGGCUACAUUCACAGGAGUGCAAUCCUUGGAUCAAAAGGCAAAGUGGCUGACUGAGUGCGACGACAUCUCCUUACCGCUAAUCUUUCAGGACCAUGCUGAGUGAGGCGGCAGUGCAGCCUCUGUUCAUUUCCAGCUUUCACCAACAAACCCAAUCGAGCCAUUUAUGAAUCCG